ACGAAUGCUGGCGGCGUGCCUAAUACAUGCAAGUUGAGCGCUGAAGGUUGGUACUUGUACCAACUGGAUGAGCAGCGAACGGGUGAGUAACGCGUGGGGAAUCUGCCUUUGAGCGGGGGACAACAUUUGGAAACGAAUGCUAAUACCGCAUAAAAACUUUAAACACAAGUUUUAAGUUUGAAAGAUGCAAUUGCAUCACUCAAAGAUGAUCCCGCGUUGUAUUAGCUAGUUGGUGAGGUAAAGGCUCACCAAGGCGAUGAUACAUAGCCGACCUGAGAGGGUGAUCGGCCACAUUGGGACUGAGACACGGCCCAAACUCCUACGGGAGGCAGCAGUAGGGAAUCUUCGGCAAUGGACGAAAGUCUGACCGAGCAACGCCGCGUGAGUGAAGAAGGUUUUCGGAUCGUAAAACUCUGUUGGUAGAGAAGAACGUUGGUGAGAGUGGAAAGCUCAUCAAGUGACGGUAACUACCCAGAAAGGGACGGCUAACUACGUG
rnacentral:rRNA from 1 species